CUUCUCCCUUAUACACUCUCUUUCGCUCUCAUUUCCACUGCAUUCACUUGGCUCUGAUGCCUCUUCUGCCAUACCCAACUUUCGCUACCAUACAUAAGUGUAGGCACCAACACCCCUCUAUGAACAGCCAACCGUGCUUUUUGCGACACCUUCUGGCUGCUCAUAAAAGCGUUAAGUGCCCCAUUCACACGUUUUCCAGCAUUCACUCUCCUUUCAAUGUCUUUAUCAUGCUUACCGUCCCUAGUGAACAAGGUUCCCAGAUACACAAACUCUUUCAAUAAAUAAUACCCAUUUUAAAUAACAUAUUAACUAUUUACUUAAAUAAAAAAAACCGGUCAAGUGCGAGUCGAACUCGCGUUCCAAGGGUUCCGUACAUAAGUCCGACUCACGCUUGACUGCACAUUUCUAAUAGGUUUUCCUAUUAUCUAUAGGUAAAGUACUAUUUUGUGUAUUUUUUCAAAAUUUUAGGCCCAGUAGUUUCAGAGAUAAAGGGGGGGGGGGGGAAUGGUCGGACAGACAGACAGACACACGAGAGAUCUUAAAGGGUUCCGGUUUUUCCUUUUGAGGUACGGAACCCUAAAAGCGUGAAAGAUAUCGUAAGUGCUAUUUGAGAAAAGUCAUUAGAAGAAAAAAAACACUGAAAAUGCUAAAAAUAGCAUCUUCCGUGACGUAUUGCGCAAAAACUAUAAGUGAUAGCAAUAUAGUGUGUAUAAGAGAUAAAUAGAAAAUUUAAUAAGGAUCACUUCGUUGCUACACCCUUUUUCUGUAUCUAGAACGGUUUUCUUAAAAAUUGAGAAAAACUAGGUUUUGGACCCUUUGCGGGGGUGUGGGGGAGUGACGCAGAGGGGGGAGGGGAGGGGAGGGUUGAUGAAAAAUAACCUCGGUCGACAACGUACAUAUCCCAAUUAAAAAAAGUCUUCUAUUAAUUAUGCCGUAAUUUUAGCUAAUUUCACUGAACUACUGUACCACGCGACCAAAACGUCGUAAGCGCCGCGCUCCGCUUCUGUUUGAUGUCAAAACAACAACAACUCAUGGCGCAAAAUACUGGUUCUCUGUGCCGGUUCUAUACGCAGUAAUAAUAGUACAAUGGAUAGACAUGACGUAGAGACCGCUCUAUUCAAACACUGUUGGAACAACAUAAUUAUCGAAAUCCAAAGUUUGCCUCUCUAUCGCUUGAAUAUUAUGCAUUUACUUAGGUAUUUUAAUUUCGCUUUUAUAUCGUACAAACUUUCUGAAAUCUUGUUAAAGUCGGAAAAGCUAAAUCUGCAUGCAAUUCACAACGACAAAGUGUGGGAAUGUUAUCGUAGAUGUCAAAUUUCUACGAAAAUAUGACGUUUAAAAUGACACUACCUAACUUUGUUCAGUUCAAGUCGGUGCAAAGUUAACUUAGACGGACUCUACUUUUCGUUAUGUUACUGAAAUUACCAACUAAUAGAGCAAGACAACCCUGUAGCGAUUUUUAUGACACAGACUGUGCAAGUGUUAUUUAAACGUCAUAAUUUCAUAGAAGUUUGACGUUUAAAAUAACACUGUGCUAUAAUAAUCGCUGCAGAGUUAUCUUGGUCUGUGUUUACAACAUUAGGAACACUAAAACAGCUUGAAUAAAAAAUAAAUACCACGAAUAUGUACGAGCCCCGAUGCACAUGUUUUCGUCUAGUGAGACCAUUUUUUCAGGUUCUCGCGUUUGUUCAAAAAUAAUGUUUUUGUUUAAAAAUUACUAGUAUUUAAUGCUUAUACUAAUGUAAUUUAAUUUUAUAUGGUAAUACUCUGCAAUAACUAAAUCCAAAUACAAGAAAUACCGUUUGUACUGAAAGAAAAAAGAUGUUUUUUAAUUUUUUUAUUGACGGGUAGGAUUACAACAUAUGUGAAAAGGGCUAUCACUAGGGAAAGCAACACGGCUCUGCCAAUAUACUGACAAUUUUGUUUCGAGCCCAUGCAUGCAGCAGUGCUGUAGGAGAGGACAAUAUGAUUUGGACAACGUUUUUGAAAAGUCCUUUUUUUCAGCAAUAAAAGUCUCAUGCAAUUUUAUUAUCCGAUCAAAAUAAACUAGAUUAAACAUUAAACAUUAGAUUAUUUUAUUAUGGUUCCCAUUACUGGGUCAUUUUAUGUUCAUGUGUAAAAUUUAUUACAAUAAACAAAAUUGUUGCGUGGAACUAGACGAAAUAAUUUGCAUCGGGGCUCGUAUAUUAUUAUAUCCACAGUUACAUUUUCAAGAUAGUUGAAAUUUGACUUAAUGUCACUAUGACAAUGUUCAAAUUUCAGUUCGAUAAAAGUGAUACAUAGAACCCUGUAAUAUUGGGCAAGCGAUAUAUGUAGGUAGGUAUAUCAUAAAGAGUUGUUUCUACGCCGUGUCUUGAGUUUGAUACAAUAGUAUACAGUAUACACAACCUGUGUUCUCUCUGCAAAACUCUUACAAUCUCAGUGUUACUAAUACAUUCAGCGGGUACUACAUAUAUACUCCAUUCCAGGUAACAUUAUAGACUCUACAAGAUCACAGAAUCAGAGAUUCUAAACCGCUUCGAUUAAGGGUGGUAUUCCACCUAUCCAAUUUAUUUGUCCAAUGUGUAUUGCAUUUCACAUUUUGCUUUAUUGAGAGAGUGAGAGGCAAUGAAAUUGGACAGGUGGAAUACCACCCUUAGAUACGUGAACGAAUUCAAAAGUAAAUUGUAGACAGUAAGGACAGCAAUGACACCAGAUAUCGAGCGUCGUUGACCUCUGGCCCUUUAGAUGAUUUGUAAGAAAACUAGGGGACAUUCUUUAUUGAUUGUAAACUACAAUUAGAAUAAAGCAUUAUUUACAAAUUCUGAUGUGAAAGUCGCUGAAAUGAUUCUGGUGGAUAAAUUCGGUGGAAAUAUUUUCUUCGAUAUUUUACUUACAAUAACUAAAUAAGAGCACCGUGAACAAAGUUUUGUACGGUGCUCUAAAAAUGUGGGAUAAUCUUACACACAUCCACCUAGUCCCACAGUAAGCUUAGUGGUGGGUAGUAGACGACGAUACCUAGAUAUAAUACUUAUGACGGCUGUACACACCCGUCACGAGACCCCGAGACAGGCCGAGAACGAGUGUGUACAUACUGCUCCCGUCUCGUCUCGCCCUUCUUUGACCUAGUCUGUUUUUGCCUGAGAGGCUCUGGACGAGUGUGGACAGCCGGCAUAGUUACAACUUAGUUGAGAUCGUAUGACUGAGAAAUGUUACUUAGGCCCACUUGCACCAUCCCACUAACCCGGGGUUAAGCGGUUUAACCGUCAACCCAGUGACAAAUUGUACUAGUAACCAUGGUAACUCCAGGUUUAACAGGUUAACCCCGGGUUAGUGGAAUGGUGCAAGUGGGUCUUAUUGAAUAUAUGUCAUCCUAAAACUUGCACCACAAUCAGUUUUCUUGAUUAUUCCCACUAGUUACCACCAAGUUGUUACCAGUGGUAACUAUGUACUGGGAAAAUUUUUCCCACCUUUUACCACUGGUAAAAAUGGGAUUAUUUUCCUAGUAGUUACCACCGAAAUUUGGUUAGAGUUCAAUACUAAUAAGGUACGGUUUCGUUCCGUCUAUUUCCACCUGGAAUGGAGUAUAACAUAUUAAAUGACCAUUAUUGGACGUUACUCGUGUAUGUAUGUAUUAGGUCAUUACCUAUGAAAUUGGCGUUUUGUUCGGAGAAUUUCAACGAAACACGAAUUUCCAUACAAUUAAUUUUGCGGAUAUUUUUUUGAUGGCUAAUUCAAACCAAACAAAAUUUUUCCAGUAAUUUUUGACACCUUUAAGGUAUGUUUUCAAUAUCUCCAUUUCUUGAAAAUUGGUACCAUUAGAAAAAUAUAAGUAAUUUUAAUACUCGAACCGACAGCACAUGAAAAGACCUAUUUUCAAGGCUUAAUUCUGAACACUUAACAAUAAAAAAUAACAAUUAAUUGCUGUCAAGCAGUUUGGCGAAAUCAUAUUGUAGUUUUAUUGUAAUUGUGUAUGUACUUUUGUAAAAAAAAAAAAACUAGGAUCAGACUUAUAUCUAUGAACAAAAACGCCAAUUUCAUAGGUAAGGACCUAAUAUGUACAGUACAGUCGCCAGUAUGUAAGUAUCCCGCUAUAUUACCUACACAAUCUCGUAUUCAAUACUGCAUUGCUUAAAUACAAUAAUACGCUUAUAUAUAUAUAUAUACCAACGCGAAUAUAAUGACAAUAAAUAGACAACUAGCCGAUAGUUUCUCACAGCUCUUAAUUGUAUAUAAAAUAGGAAAAAUGCGGGUAGAUGUAACGUGGAAAUUAAAAGUUACCUCAUUUUGACUAAAAAUUGUUUUUUAUAAUAUUAUUACUUUACAUAAGUAAAUUCAGGAUUAAAUGCCCUAUUGGCAAUUAAAUUUGUUUAAAAAUAUAUACUAUUUUUCAUACAACAUUAUAUAUUUCUAAUACAUAUUUGCGUAUGGCGGGCCUGAUUUGGUAAAAUUAUAAUUUAAAUAAUGCGAGCGAGACAGCGAUGUCCCGCUCGUACACCGAAGCGGAGUGCGGAUUUGACCGCUUUUGACUUGUCAAAUUGUAAAUUGCUUUCAUAUCGAGCACUGGAAGUUAGGGGUUGUUAAAAAUAUAUUUUAGCGUUGUGGGGGUUAAAUCUACCCGCCAAUUUCGAGUCUGCCAGGCAAGUGUGCUGAUAGCUCGCAGAUUACUACCCAUAGAUUUUGCAUUUGCACUCACCGCAUAAAGUCCCUCUUAGGCUUCGUUUCCACCGGAGAUGUACGAGGAUGCGUAACUAUGGGUUUGUUAAAAGUUAAGAACCAAUACAAUCACUUCAUUUACUUCUUCUUCGUAACAAACACAUCGCUAUGCAUCCUCGCACAUAUCUGGGGGCAACGCAGCCUCUGCAGAUUUGGCACAAACCGGUAUCUCAAUAGAACAGUUCUUUAACCGGUAACGGCAAACGGAAACGAAAUUGGUUUGAGAAGUAAAACGGUUUCCGAGCCCCGAUUUUAUCAAUGAACUGAACGUACAGUCAGAGUUUAAUUUCCUACCCAUUUUGUACUUUGUCACAGUAACAAUUAGUCUAGCGACUUUCAUAUUGACCGUCACUGUGACACGACACGGUAAGAAAUGGGUAGGAAAUAUUUUUUUUUUGACUGUACGUAAGUGCUUGUGCGGUGAGAGUAGUCUAAUGCCACAUCUAUUUGGUAAUCUACGCUUCAGCGCCGAUACAUAGCUGCCGACGGCAACGCUAGGGUUGUCACCGAUUUAGCAGAAACACCCGAUUGUUUACAUAAAUUUGUUUGUUUGUACAUACAUUAACAAGUCGAAAUAAUUGGAACAACUACGAGCCCCGAUGCACAUGUUUUCGUCUAGUGAGACCAUUUUUUGAGGUUCUCGCGUUUGUUCAAAAAUAAUGUUUUUGUUUAAAAAUUACUAAUAUUUAAUGCUUAUACUAAUGUAAUUUAAGUUUAUAUGGUAAUACUCUGCAAUAACUAAAUCCAAAUACAAGAAAUACCGUUUGUACUGAAAGAAAAAAAAUAAUGAUUUUUUAUUUUUUUUAUUGACGGGUAGGAUUACAACAUAUGUGAAAAGGGCUAUUACUAGGGAAAGCAAUAGGGCUCUGCCAAUGUACUGACAAUUUUGUUUCGAGCCCAUGCAUGCAGCAGUGCUGUAGGAGAGGACAAUAUGUUUUGGACAACGUUUUUGAAAAGUCCUUUUUUUCAGCAAUAAAAGCCUCAUGCAAUUUUAUUAUACGAUCAAAAUAAACUACAUUAAACAUUGCUAUUAUGGUUCCCAUUACUGGGUCAUUUUAUGUUCAUGUGUAAAAUUUAUUAAAAUAAACAAAAUUGUUGCGUGGAACUAGACGAAAUAAUUUGCAUCGGGGCUCGUAUACUAUAUAUAGUUCACGGACGUGCGACUGAAAUUAAACAAUCAACAAAUUAUAUUGGUCAUUUGAUGUACAGUCAGCAAUCAGCAUCAAAUAGAUAGGGACGGUCAAAGUGGCCAAAUAUAUCGAUAAACAUCCCUAUUCCUAUGGUAACAAAGGUAUGUUACGAUAUAUUUAGUCACGUAGGCCGUCACUAUCUUAUUAACGCUGACUGUACUUGUAACGGAAGUUUUUCUAUGGGUAACAUAACUACCCAACUUUAUUUCGUCCCGUGGCUAAAUAACAUCAACUGACAUUUCGUCAGGUGACAAGCAAAACUCACUAAGUACCACCACAACACAAGUUCAUAGCCAUAGUGAACCAUAUUAGUACUAAAAGAAGGUCGAUUUUUGUUUAAUUUUUUUUUAGUAAUUAGUGACGUUUGCUUGUCACCUGACGAUUUAUUCUAAAUGACAUAGAUGUAGUGCAUCAUUAUUUUCCAUCGUAUUUUCACGGAAGCUUACGAACGUGUCUUGCUAUUUCCCAGUAAAAAAUGUAUUGAGGUUGACUGAACUAGCAUGGCAAAUACGAACGUUUCCGAGAAAAUACGAUGGAAAACAAUUAUGCACUACAUCUGUACACUAAUAUACGUCUCAAAAUCGGAAGCAUUUGUCAAAAUUAUUGAUCUAAGCAUGAUGACAACCCUUUUUAUAUAAUGGAAUACACAGACAUCGAGGAACAACAUGUAGGUAUAUUACAGUCAGUAUAGGUAAUACUUUGAUGAGGGUGACUAUCAAAUUCAUUGUAGAUUUUGUCCUUCAGAAAAUACAAUUAAUAAUAAGGUCAAUUCGGGUAAGUGUGGCGGGCCUUCACAUUGGGGCCUCUUUACACAUUGAUUAGUUUGUUGUGUAUGGGUGGUGUUCCGUCUGUCCAAUGUGUAUUUUGUCUCACGUUUUGCUUAAUGGGAGAGUGAAACGCAAUACCACCCUAUGACGCCGAACGAGUGCACCUACGGCACGUGCAUUUCUUCUGCAACAUUUGUUUCUAUUCUUAUAUAACUAACUCGUGUACUAUAAUACUGUCUAAAACAGUAUGACACUUUUCUGGUUCGGACUUCGUCAUACAACGAAUUUGAAAAUAACCCAUUUGCUUUAAGGGAUUGUUCAUAACAUGCCAGCUUCGCGUAUUCAUCAAAUACAACGUCUUAUUAUAAUGGAAGCUACAUCUGCUGUUUUAGUUAAUAUUUAACCUAUUUAGCGCCUAGGGGAUAUUUGGACCAAUAACGAGACCCAAACGCAAAGGCAAACGUAUUUUUAAUCAUAUUCUGUAAUACAUUAAUGACGUUAUUCAUAAACGCGUUUCUGGUCUGAAUUAGCUAUGAAUCGUCUGUCCUUAUAUACCAUUUUGACUUAUGUAUUUGUAAGAAAGUGAUAAAACAUAAUUUAACUAAAUCAGGCCCGUAAAGUUUUAUGAAUAAGGUUAUUAUAUUACAUAAUUUUCUGUUCAUACAGAGUUUCAACACAGCUUGAAGCAAAACAUUUGUUUCACCUGUAAGCGGCACCUGCUUAUUGCUAUGAAUUGUCAAUGUCAAGUUUAAGUUUUCGAUUUACGCCACAAGAUGGCAUACUCUAAGUGUCACUUGUGUUUUACCUUGAGUCCCACGGGAAUCUAAAUUUACUGUUAAAGUAGUUUUUUGGCUGGCAAGAUGUACCCCUCUGCUCUAGGGCUUAAGGGGGGUAUUCCACCUGUCCAAUUUAUUUAUCCAAUGGCAGUGUGUCUCACUCUCUCAUUAAAGCAAAAUGUGAGACGCAAUACCACCCUAAUCUACACUUGGCGCUAAAACGGUUAAAAAUGUAUAACAUAAAAAGCCAAUUUUAUUGAAGAUAAUCGAAAAAAAGUUGUAAAA